UGGUACACUGUUUAUAAAAAUGACCUCCUUUCCUCAUGGGGGCCCAGUGUGCAAUGGCUGCAAACAGCAGCUUCCCUGGUAGUGAUGCAGCCUGUUUGUUGUAUGGGUUGCUCUAAGGGACCUUGGAGACAGAC
rnacentral:snoRNA from 1 species